GACAGAGGGUGCAAACGUUGUCCGGAUUUAUUGGGCGUAAAGAGCGUGUAGGCGGCUAGAUAGGUCCGUUGUGAAAACUCGAGGCUCAACCUCGAGACGUCGAUGGAAACCAUCUGGCUAGAGUCCGGAAGAGGAGAGUGGAAUUCCUGGUGUAGCGGUGAAAUGCGCAGAUAUCAGGAAGAACACCCGUGGCGAAGGCGGCUCUCUGGUACGUGACUGACGCUGAGACGCGAAAGCGUGGGGAGCAAACAGG
rnacentral:rRNA from 1 species